rnacentral:lncRNA from 1 species
UAAAAUUCGCCAAAAAUUGUAGAAAAAUCGUAUGAAAAUGUGAGAGUAGUCAUUUUAAAGGUAUAAACCUGAAAUUUGUGCAUGUAAAACAAUUUUGAAAAAUAUUAUCAUUAAGGUGGUCAAAACAGUUCGAUAUUGGACCAAAACCUUUCCGUCAAGGGCUGAAUUUUGAGUUUAGUUUAUAGAUCUUUGAACACAACACUCCUUUUUGCUAUUUUAAGUGUAUAAAUCCCAGAUCUACAAGUUUACAUGUAUUAUAUGUGAUAAAACAUAUUUUUCUCAAGGUUUUCAUGUAUAUCCAAGUGUUAAACUUAAUAUUUUUAACAUAUUUUUAGAUUUAUGAAGUAAAUAGCACAUAAUCAACAAAUAAGUAAUGAAAAACACACAUAUUCAUGCAUAUACACAUAGAUAUACAUAAAGCAACUUGUAUUCUCCCCCAAAACCAAGUAAAAAUCGAAAAUACGGGGUAUGAACUCACCUUUUCUUGUUGUUCUCGGUUUUGAAGAAGAGAUGAAGAGAUUUUUGGUCCUAGCAACACCUUGAUGUAGAUUUCCAGCUUAAGAAGUUUUCUAGGAGUAUGAUCACCAAAUGCUUGUUUAGAAGGAGUGAUCUAACAUGAGAAAGUAGUUAUAUAACUUGGAUAUGUAAAAACUUACCAAAGAAUGAUGAUUUUCUUGAGAAAACCCUCUUGAAACACAAGCAAAAUUUCGAGAUUUUUAAGAAAGAAGGAGAAUGAUUCUUGAGAGAGUUUGAUGUUGUGUGUGUGUGUGGUCUUUGCUUUUGGUCGAGAUAUCAAGAAAAGAGAGGGUGUGGAGAGUGUGUGCGGAUAUAUGGAACUUGUAUAGAUGUAUGUGAUGCACUAAGCUUGGUUAUCCUUCAAACAAAAGUGAUUUUGUCAUGGUGUGGAUUAAUUAGCCAUUUCUCUUUGUCUUUUUUUUUAUAAUACAUGGGCCGAGAUUUGGGCUAGAAGGAAGGAGGAUGAAUUAGUUUGGCCCAAUUCUUUCUUUAGUUUGAAAUUAUGAAGUCUAUAGAGAAAAUUUUCAGUCGAUUGGGCCCUUGGAAGUACUUACGACCCAACUUAAGAUAAAGGGAUGGGUUUUAGGUCCAUUAGGGUUAAUUGGAGUUGUUAUGGUCCAAUUAGGCCCAUUAGGUUAAACUAAUCCAUUUUAGGCUCAUUAAAUGCUAAGUUUUAUGAACGUGGGUUCAUUUAGAGCUCAUAUAAGGGUUCUAAGCCCAUGCUAGUCGAAUUGAAUGCUUAUUGGUCCAUUAGGCCCAAUAAGGAAAUCCUAGUCCAUAAUGGACUUAAACAGGGAUUCUUAGGGUUUUCAGCCCUUAUUUGAACAAAUGAGAUGUAUUUGAAUGAGCUUAGAGUAUGAUAUUCUCUUAGAGUACAAGUUAUUACACUAGGUGAAUGAUUUCAUGAGAGUAGAAUUUCCUAGCAAAAAUGCUAGUUGUGACAUCAUCCCCCGUUAGAGGGAAUUUCGUCCCGAAAUUCUUUCGAAAGGUAGGUUCACGAAUGAGAGAAUAGGUGAGAGAACUUCUUCUUCAUCUUGUCCUUGCUUUCCCAUGUGAAUUUCGGUCAGCUCUUAGCGUUCCAUCGAAUCUUCACAAUCAGAAUGUGACUCUGCUUCGUAUGCUUCACUUCCAUAUCCAUUAUCUCGAUUGGUUCUUCGACGGACCAGAUAUUCUAGUUGAUUUCGAUUUCUUCUAAAGGUAUGACGAGAGUUACAUCAGAUAAACACUUUUUCAAAUUUGAAACGUGGAACACGGGGUGUAUGUUGCUGAGCUCUACAAGCAGCUGCAACCUAUAAGCCAUUGGACCAAUCCCGACAAGAAUCUUGAACGGUCCAAUGUAUUUCGGGUUCAGUUUUCACGUUUCCUAAAGCGAAUCAUUCCUUUCUAGGGAAAGAAUUUCAAUAGUACCCGGCCUCCGAAUUAGAAUUCCAAACGUUUUCGUUGUUUGUCAGCAUAACUCUUCUGUCUGUCUCGUGAUGCUUGAAGUUGAGUUCUGAUUUGGAUUAUCUUCUUUGUCAUUUCGCGAUUGGUUUUCUGGUCCCGUGAGAGUACUGGUGAGUGAUCUGCAUUUACGAACAUAAAGAGCCUCGAAAGGACAAACCUUGAUGCUCGUGCGAUAGCUAUUAUUGUAUGAGAAUUCAAUCAAGGGCAACCGGUUAUCCCAUGACUCGCUGAAUUCAAACACCCAGGCUCGGAGCAUGACUUCGAAAGUUUUAUCUAUCCCUGGAGUGCUCCCUCCGUGAUAUUCUCCGACUUUGAUGCUUUCAAUGCCGUUCGUAGAUGUUGACAGUGUUUUGUUCUUGCUUCGUGUGCAGACGAGUAUGUUAUGGAUGGAAAUAAUGAAACGACUGACUAGGAAUGGUUGGGAAAACUCGGUUCGUAGGGUGCAUGAAUACCGUGGGGGCAUUUAUCAUACUAAAAGGCCAUAACAAAGAAUUCGUAAUGACCGUAUCGAGUUUGGAAAGCAGUUUUUGGAAUGUCCUCUUCUCGGACUCGAAGUUGAUGAUAAUCGGUUCCUAGAUCUAUUUUAGAGAAAUAACUAGCUCCUUGGAGCUGGCCAAAUAGAUCGUCAAUCCGAGGGAGUGGGUAUCGGUUUUUGAUAGUGAGCUUAUUCAAUUCCCUAAAAUCGAUGCACAUUCUAAAGGAUUCGUCUUCUUGACGAACAAGACCUGAGUCCCCUAGGGUGAGAAGCUUGGUCUGAUGAAUCCUUUGUUCAACCAUUUCUUAGUUUGACUGGAUAACUUCUGAAUUUCGGCGAAAGCUAACCUAUAGGGUGAAUUGGCAAUUGAUGUGGUUUCCGGUAUGAGGUCGAUUCGAAAUUCGGCCUGUCUCUCUGGGGUUUUCCCGGAAUUUCUUUGGGAAAUACAUCCAGAAAAUCAUAUGCUACUGGAAUACCUUGUAUGCUUACUUCUUCCUUGGUCUUGUCCACUACGUGAGGGAGGAAAACGUAGUUCUUCUGGUGCAGGCAAUUCUGUGCCUUGAUGCACGAGAUAAGACGAAGAUUGGCACCAGGUUUAUCACCAUAGAUUAUUAGAGUUUCGUGAUUGGGGAGGUGAAGGCAAACGACCUUCUCGCAACACAUAGUAUCAGCAUGGUGGGGGCUUAACCCAACCAUGCCGAUUAUCAUAUCAAAACUCCUAAUAUUUACUGACAUUAAAUCUAUUUGAAAUAAAUGGUUGUUUAGUGUUUAGGUGUAUCCUACAUAAAUAUCUUUGGUUGAUUCGGUUUUUCCCAUUAGCCAUCUCCACCGUGAAGGCUUCAUUUAGCUUCUGGGGUUGUUGUUUUAGUAAGUGCUCGAAUUUGUUACUAACGAAGCUUCGCUCAGCUCCACUAUCGAGUGAAAUGCAAGAGAAAGAGUUGUUAAUUGGAAACGUACUAGUAACAACCAUCAGGUCUUGAAUUGCUUCGCCUUGACCUAGGGUUAGGACCCUUCCUGAUCCUCCUGCCCCUUGAUUGUUAGCUUUGGGGCAGUUGCGUCUGAAAUGACCGGUUCCUCCUCACCCAUAGCAGGUGUGACUGGCCCCAAAAUUGGUGUUGUUGUUAAGGUUGUUGCGAUUGUUGUUGUUUUUGUUUGGCUGUUGAUUCUGUCAUAGAUAAGUUCUACAGUAUUUGGUGGUGUGACUCUUUCGGUUGCAUAUCUUACAAUGCGGCUCCCGGUAGGCUCCCUUAUGAUGGAAAUUGCAUUGGUUACAUUUUGGAAGGCUUCCCGCAUAUGAUCUCGCUGGUGUUGAUGUAGUAGGGGUCAUGGUCCCAUGGACAGAAACAACAUGUUGCUUCUUAGAAAACCCUUGAGUGUGCUGUCCCUUUCUCUUACUUCCAGACUUCUGCUUCCUGCUCUUUAUCUUGGGGUUUGGAGUGCCUUGAUAAGCUGUCACGUGUUGGUUUCUGUGCUCGCUCCUUCGGCUGGAGUUGUCGAUGCUAUUUCCACCUCUAUUGGUGUUGUUUGCGUUGAUUUGUGCCAUAGCAGCGAUUACUGACGCUGUUACAACAACUUGGAAUGCAGCAGAGUCCAUAUGUAGGAGCAAUGUCUCGUGGGUGUGCUUGUUAUUUAUGUGGGAUGACAUUUUCCUGCUGCAUGAUGAUAAGCCAGAUCGUAAGUAAUGAUCGUCAUUCCUGGUUGUACGUCUUGUCGUAUGAUUCUCAUUGUUUCCAUCUACGUCCCCAUGGUGUAUUUACGGUGGUAGGUAAUCGCAGUUUUUGCACGAAUUUUAAGUUUGUCUAUAGAGUUUGUAGAUUAUUUUGGAUUUCGAGAUCCUUGAGUAACUAGUGGUUUCAGGGGUUCGGUUAUGCAUAUAAUUGAACUUUAUGCAAUAACAUGAAAUAAAGUUAGCACAUAAUUGUUUCAUUGGUAAGUACCAUCUUAGUACACGAAAAAGAGUCAUAUCGGAUAGUAGGGGGUGGGGGAGAAAAGGCUGAUCCUAAUUGUAGCGGAAAGUGUCUGGUUGUGGUGCUAAUGAAGUGGAUGCACCUUGGAGAUGAGCUACUUGCCGUUCGGUGUCUCGUAGUCGUGCCUCCCAAACUGGCUAUCUCUCUUGGAAGUCUCCAAUUGCUUCCUGUGUUUGUCUCUCAUCUCCCUCAACAGCAGUCCACAUUUGGUCCGUUUGUUCUGAGGUGCCCUGAGCUUGGUUAUCAAUAUCUCGGGUGCGUCGGACCAUGACUGGCAGGGACCGGUCAGAUGGUCCUCUAUGACUAUGAUCGAAGAAACCUCGGUUCCUACCAUAGUGUGGUCGUAUCCUCUGAUGGUGAAUCCAUCUCCAAUAUCGAUUGCCUAUGAGGCGUGGGGCCACCGGGGCCCUCACGAUAAGUCGGUACUCUGGCCAUGUAUGGAGGAUUGAUGACCUCAGAUUCUACAUCCGUGGCAUCAUCGUCAUUGCCCUCUAGCUCUUCCUCUUCGAGGUUCACUACUGGCUCGACGGGUUCAUCUGUAAGUUCUACUUCAUGUUCCUCCCCUGGUUCUUCCUCUGAGUCUCCUUCGGGUCUUCCUCUGGAUCGAUCCACCCUGCUUUCCCCUGACUAGGGAGAUAAGGGUCUCCUGGCUAAUGAUUCCCGUCCAUAGUGUAUUGCACGAAGGAGUAUAAAUACUAGAAACAAAUAGCACACCAAAUACUCCUAUAAUAUUUUAAUUUUGUUUAGGUUUGGUUCUAUAAGCUCUUUGGAUAAUUAAAUGGUAAGUUAUUGAUUCAUUGUCCAUCACAAUUACUCCCGAGCACAUGUUGGUCGUAUUUUGAAUGAAUGUAGUUGAUCAGGCUACAUUUACCCCCAAUACGACUACAUAACUGCCCGGGUUUAAUAGCAAUGUUCAAAUCCUCCAAAGACUUUUACUGUUCUUGUUGUGUUAUUACUCUAAAAUGCACACAUAGGUAUGUAUUUUAAUUAUUAUGUUCAGAAUAGUUUAGUCCCAUUGUAUUUAUAGUUGCAUAUCUUGUAUGGUUAGAUAUGCCAGUUCACUAUAAACAAUGCUCUGAUACCAAUUUGUCACACCCCCGAACCAGACGGCGGAAACGUCUGGGGGAUUGUGCGUGACUUCAUCUUCAAAUAUCAUUACGGUGGAUAUAAAUGAAACAUAACAUCAUCAUUACCAUGCAUAAUAUAAUACAACUGCCAUUGUUUACAUUAAGUACAGUCUUUUAAAUAAAAUGACCAAAACAUUCAGUGUAUGAUGUUUAACAGCACACGAAACAAAAUCCCAUAUUCUUGUUGAUUCUUCUGCUUAACGAGUCCCUGAGAAUACAAGUUAUUUUGAAAAUGUCAACAUAUAUAAUGUUGGUGAUUUUAUAAGUACAUUUGAGAAAAUGAUUUGUAUAACUUUGUAAUCAAAAGAAAAUCUUGUAUUUUCUUAAAAUAGUUUGGUAUGUUUAUGUCUGAUCUUGUAUUAAUGCAUGUGUAUUAUUGUUUAAUAGCAUGUCAAAAGUGAUUGAAGAGAAUGUAAAUAGAAUGUCCCCGGACAACCCGAUGUUGCCCGUAAAAGAAGAAUAGUUAAUGCUGCCGUACCAACACCGAUGUUGAGUACUAGUGUGAGUAAGUUACUGAGUAAUCCAAUCAUAAAAGAAAAUAGAUAAUGCUGUCGUACCAAAACCGAGGUUGAGUACCAGUAUAAGUAAGUUUCCGAGUAAUCCAAUCAUAAAAGAAAAUGGAUAUUGCUGCCGUACCACACCGAGGUAGGGUACCAGUGUAAGUAAAUUUCCGAGUAACCCAACAUAAAAGAAAAUAGUCUUCCGCAAACUUCAUAAUGUUAAUUCCUCUAAGUGAGCCGUCAUAAACAUACUAAUUAAUGACAAUUUCGUCUGUCUUGGCUUUUGUGAACGCUGACUGAAAAAUAGAAUAAGGUUAUAGUCACCCUAGACCGAUGUAGUCUAACUGUAGCGAACAACUCAGGUGUGGGGUGUCAUCCCCGUAUAGAUCUAUACACAAAACCUCGCUCUCCCUCAACGAGACUCUUAUUAUAACUACAGGCUACGAUCGUACACUUAAUAGGUGUCGACCGACAAAAACUCACUAGAUCCUUAAUUGAAUUUACGCAAAGAUAAACGUAUAAAACUCAUUCCAGACCCAACGGACAAUGUAAGUGAGCCACUAGGGCAUCGCUAAACAUGUGAGUCAUUUCAAAACGGCAAAACCUAAUAUGAAUGAGGUUAUAUAACAUGGGUCCAAAAUAUAUGUAAAGGGACAACUAAGACCCAUUUCACAUGUAACGCAUUUAUAGGCCCAAACAACACACAAAUAGUAUACAAAACCUAUCAAACAUAUAAAUGGACCACUAAGGCCCAAUAACCUAGAAAUAAUCAAAAUUAAUCCGUUUGUUAGUUUAUUGUUUGUUUUGGUUCAAGUAUUCACUAAAAUAGCAUAAAAGGCCCACUUUUUGUAAAAAUGACGUUCUUGGCCCAAUAAGCCAAAAAUUUACAAUUAAGGCCCAUUUUUUGUGAAAAUAACACUUUAGUCCCCAUUUUGUUCAAAACUUGUGUUUAUGACUAGUUUAUGGUAAAAAUAACAUUUUAAACCCGUUUUUGUCAAAAAUAUCAUUUUUGGUUUGAUUUUUGUGAAAACACACAUUUUUCUGGUUUUUGGCUUUAUCUGAUCUACUUGUUGGAAAUUUGUAGAAAAUUCAUCGUAAGUCGAAAUUUGGAUCCGUAAAUUAUGGAAGUUUGGAAAUUUUUUCUACUUUGUUCAUAAUGUUUCUCAUAAUUUUUAAUGGCCUCUAACAUGUGUGAACUUGCUCACCUUCACAGGCUGGUCCGAAAUUAUUUCCAAUCUGAUAGGCAGUUUUGUAAAAUUCGCCAAAAAUUGUAGAAAAAUCGUAUGAAAAUGUGAGAGUAGUCAUUUUAAAGGUAUAAACCUGAAAUUUGUGCAUGUAAAACAAUUUUGAAAAAUAUUAUCAUUAAGGUGGUCAAAACAGUUCGAGAUUGGACCAAAACCUUUCCGUCAAGGGCUGAAUUUUGAGUUUAGUUUAUAGAUCUUUGAACACAACACUCCUUUUUGCUAUUUUAAGUGUAUAAAUCCCAGAUCUACAAGUUUACAUGUAUUAUAUGUGAUAACACAUAUUUUUCUCAAGGUUUUCAUGUAUAUCCAAGUGUUAAACUUAAUAUUUUUAACAUAUUUUUAGAUUUAUGAAGUAAAUAGCACAUAAUCA